rnacentral:rRNA from 1 species
ACGAACGCUGGCGGCGUGCUUAACACAUGCAAGUCGAACGGAAAGGCCCUGCUUGCCGGGUACUCGAGUGGCGAACGGGUGAGUAACACGUGGGUGAUCUGCCCUGCACUUCGGGAUAAGCUUGGGAAACUGGGUCUAAUACCGGAUAGGAGCCAUCUUUAGUGUGGUGGUUGGAAAGUUUUUUCGGUGUAGGAUGAGCUCGCGGCCUAUCAGCUUGUUGGUGGGGUAAUGGCCUACCAAGGCGGCGACGGGUAGCCGGCCUGAGAGGGUGUACGGCCACAUUGGGACUGAGAUACGGCCCAGACUCCUACGGGAGGCAGCAGUGGGGAAUAUUGCACAAUGGGCGCAAGCCUGAUGCAGCGACGCCGCGUGGGGGAUGAAGGCCUUCGGGUUGUAAACUCCUUUCGCUAGGGACGAAGCUUUGUUGUGACGGUACCUAGAUAAGAAGCACCGGCUAACUACGUG